rnacentral:rRNA from 1 species
CAAUAGCGUAUAUUAAAGUUGUUGCAGUUAAAAAGCUCGUAGUUGGACCUUGGGCCUGGACAGGCGGUCCGCCUCACGGCGUGUACUGUCUUGCUGGGUCUUUCCUCUUGGUGAUCUGUUGUUUCGGCAGCAGGGAACCAGGACUUUUACUUUGAAAAAAUUAGAGUGUUCAAAGCAGGCUCGACGCCGGAAUAUAUUAGCAUGGAAUAAUAAAAUAGGACGUGCGGUUCUAUUUUGUUGGUUUUUGGAAUCGCCGUAAUGAUUAAUAGGGACAGUCGGGGGCAUUAGUACUCACAUGCUAGAGGUGAAAUUCUUGGAUUUUGUGAAGACUAACUUCUGCGAAAGCAUUUGCCAAGGAUGUUUUCAUUAA